UACAGAGGUCUCAAGCGUUGUUCGGAUUCAUUGGGCGUAAAGGGCGCGUAGGCGGCGGGGUAAGUCGGGUGUGAAAUCUCAGGGCUCAACCCUGAAACUGCACUCGAUACUGCUCUGCUUGAGGACUGGAGAGGAGACUGGAAUUCACGGUGUAGCAGUGAAAUGCGUAGAUAUCGUAAGGAAGACCAGUGGCGAAGGCGGGUCUCUGGACAGUUCCUGACGCUGAGGCACG
rnacentral:rRNA from 1 species